UAUAAUACGUAUGCUAGCUGGAGUAAUUCAAUUUUUAAUGUUAUUCGAACAGUAAUAAAUUCUACAGCAUCGAAAUUAUUGAACGGGUAAUCUUCAGUCGGAAUUACAUUUGUGCGGUAGGUGAAAAGACCUAGCAAUUACGAGGGAUAAUCGCUAUUGAGUUUAUCGCGUCAACGGAGUGGUAAAAGGAGUGGAAAAGUGCUCUUGGACGCCAUAUUCAUUUUGGAGCACUGUCAAGUAUUUCCCCUUGCAUUUUCGAAAUAAUAAUUAUGCAAUUUCGAUUGUGUCAAUUGUAACAAUCUUCCUCAUAUCGUUGAACUUUGCGGAAAUCGCUGUACAUUCAAAGGGGAAAGGAGUUUUGAAGCAGUGGGCUGUCUCAUGGAAUGAGGAGCGAAGGAUUUAUAACGAAUCUCGAAGGGCCAGACUUUUACAAACUCUCGCACUGAAGAAAAUAUCAAGGACUAUGGACCGUCACCACCUCUCUUGUAUCAAUACAUUCGAAAAUAAAAUCUUGAUAAUCGACUGGAAAGAAGUUAGAAAGAAAAAAGUUGAAUCGUUCAAGGUCAGCUGGAUGAAUGAUGGUUGGGGGUAUUAUUUAUUAAUGUACACAUUGAUAAUAGAUUUAGGCUCCAGAUACGUGCACUUAUGUAAGUGAAUUUAUAUGGAUGAAUUUUUACUCGUCAUUGACUCGUCAAUGUAAUGAGUCCUUUGAUUGGCAUGGGCAUUUUAUGUUUAAUCUCAUUAUUAAAUAAAAAAAUUUCUUU